rnacentral:misc_RNA from 1 species
AACGGUCUAUACCUGCGGUACCUGCGGAAGGAUCAUUACCGAGUUAUCAACUCCCAAACCCCUGUGAACAUACCCGAACGUUGCCUCGGCGGGACCGCCCCGGCGCCCCUAGCGGCCCGGAACCAGGCGCCCGCCGGAGGACCCAAACUCUUGCUUUAAACAGUGGCAUACUCUCUGAGUCUCACAAACAAAAAAUAAAUCAAAACUUUCAGCAACGGAUCUCUAGAUCGGAAGAGCACA